AAGUCGUAACAAGGUUUCCGUAGGUGAACCUGCGGAAGGAUCAUUACCGCGUUUCCAACGUAUCAACAAACCGUGAACUUGUAACCUUACCUGUGGGAAAUGCUGGAUUGUUAGCGCCUUGAUGGGUUACUGGGCAACCAGUGACGUGCGCUUUCCGUCUACCAGAUGUAACAAGCUGGAGGUAUUUCCUAUGGGCUACAUAAAUUCCCCAUCAUACACCAUAUCUUAUUUAUAACGAUAUCACCUCUACUAAUUGACUAACCCCUUGACUUGAGAGUCUAACAACUCUCCAGUUGAAUCGUAGUUUAUCAUAACUAAGUACAACUCUUAGCAACGGAUAUCUCGGUUCUC
rnacentral:misc_RNA from 1 species